rnacentral:misc_RNA from 1 species
UAUUAUUUUUAUUUUCCUUUUUUUUUUUUUUUUUUUUUUUUGUAACAGUACUUUCUAGUUUGAACUUUUCACUUCUCUAUCUUCCUAUAAUGAACUAAUAUUGUUUAAUUAAACUUAUAAUUACUUUUCAUCUUUAUUAAACUUUUUUAUUUCUGAUAGUUUUGACUUUUGCAUAAUUGCCAAGUUUCUGAAAUUUCUAACAAUAAAUUUCAUUAAACUAUUUCUGUCACUGUACUGACUUUUUUGAAUAUGGCUUCUUUGCAUGAAAAACUGAAAUAUUUCUGUUUAAUUACUGACAUGCAUUUAAUUAAUACAGAGGCAGCUGCACUCGAGUUUGCCACCGAUGCUGGACUUCUUCCCAGAGAGGAUGAGGCACCACCUUGCCCCAAGUGCCAGGCACCGAUGAGAAGCAACAAGAGAAAGGAAUCAAAGCUGGGAUGGCGUUGGGUCUGCAGCCUGAGAAAUCGCAACAACUGCUCUGGCAUGAUUAACCCCAUUGAAAACACAUUUUUUGAAGGUACAAAAAUCCCAAUAAGGGAAGCUUUAGUCAUAACUGUGUACUUUGUUCUAGAUCACAGUUUCAGCUACAUAAAUCAGCAGCUAAAGCUAUGGAGGGAAAAGCAAAAAUUACCAGUAAUUGCAAAUGAGACUAUUGUUGACUUUUUAUCAUAUUGUCGUGAGGUAUGCGAAAUUUUUGCCUCUCAUCAUAGCAGAAUGUUAGGUGGUAAAGGAAAAUCUAUAUUAAUUGAUGAAACAUUUUUGACCCGCCGCAAGUACAACCGCGGCAGGGUAACCAAAAAUAUGACCAUCGUAGUUUUAGGCAUCUACUGUCGAGAAGACAAAGAAGGAUUAUUUUUCAAGGUUAAAGGAAAAAGCAAAAGGCAUUUGUGGCCUUACAUUAAACGUCAUGUUCACCCAGAAACCACCUUCAUAUACACUGACUCUGCUCCACAAUAUAAAAGGAUAGAAAAUUUAUUUCCGGCAGCAACACAUAAAACUACCAAUCACAAGAAAGGCGUAUUCGUAGAUCCCGAUGAUAAACAGAACACUAUAAAUGAUCUUGAGGGUGAAAACAAACUUUUUAAGAGGUCUAUAAAGAGCAAGAGAACAGAUGAUAUUUGCACGCAGUACAUGGCUGUACAUUAUUACAGGCGGUUCCGCUUGAAGCCCUUUACUUAUGAUGGAGAAAGACUUGCUCAGUUUCUACAGGACAUUAAAGCUGUGUAUCCAGGCCAUGGAAAAGUCGGCCUUGAACUUAAAAUGUUGGACGAACCAACAUCAGAAAGCGAAGGAAUUGAGGACCUGAUGCCUCCAAAGAAAUCAGCCCGACAAGAUGAUGAUAUACCAUUCAUUCAGGAAGAUGAUGAUAAAUGGGAAUUCAACCAAAAAACAGAGCCCAGAAAACAAAAGGAUGGAAAUGUUGCGAAAAUGUUGCAUAUCUUUUACAGAAAGAGCUGCAGAUCCAAAAUGUCAUGAAAUACUAUGACAGAGGUAAUCCAAAAAAAUAAAUAAAAGAAAGAAGAAAACUAAUUUUGACAGAUAAAUUGACAAACAUAGAGGUAAAGAAUAUUGCAGAAAUGAGAAAUGAAUCAUGGAAAGAAAUGAAUCUUCAGUCAGAAAAUAUACAGGGACUUCAAAAAUAACAUUUUGCUGCCACUUAGACGAGGGAAGAAGCAGAUGGAGAAAUCAACUCGGAUGACAAACCCAGUGCCUGGGGGUAUAGCCAGGUUUUUCUUUCAAGAAACACAUCCGAGUUGAAACGACUGAUGCGGGCCACACCUGAAAGCGAAGGAACUGAGCAACUGCUGC